rnacentral:rRNA from 1 species
AUGAAGCUUAAGAUACAAAGCGACCCAUGUCAAACACCCCCUUAAAGGAAAUGAACGAAAUGAACUCCGCUGGAAUAUCUUCGGUUGGGGCGACCGCGGGGAAAGACAAAACCCCCACAUGGACUAGGGCUACUGCAGCCCUAAAACCUAGACCCACAGGUCAAAUCAACAGUACUUCUGACCACCAAAGAGCCGGCAAUGCCGAUCGACGGACCG